AAUAGAUACCCCGGUAGUCCACGCCGUAAACGAUGAGUGCUAAGUGUUAGAGGGUUUCCGCCCGUUUAGUGCUGCAGCUAACGCAUUAAGCACUCCGCCUGGGGAGUACGGUCGCAAGACUGAAACUCAAAGGAAUUGACGGGGGCCCGCACAAGCGGUGGAGCAUGUGGUUUAAUUCGAAGCAACGCGAAGAACCUUACCAGGUCUUGACAUCCCACUGACCGGUAUAGAGAUAUACCUUUCCCUUCGGGGACAGUGGUGACAGGUGGUGCAUGGUUGUCGUCAGCUCGUGUCGUGAGAUGUUGGGUUAAGUCCCGCAACGAGCGCAACCCUUGAUCUUAGUUGCCAGCAUUUAGUUGGGCACUCUAAGGUGACUGCCGGUGACAAACCGGAGGAAGGUGGGGAUGACGUCAAAUCAUCAUGCCCCUUAUGACCUGGGCUACACACGUGCUACAAUGGAUGGUACAAAGGGCUGCAAGACUGCGAAGUCAAGCCAAUCCCAUAAAACCAUUCUCAGUUCGGAUUGCAGG
rnacentral:rRNA from 1 species